UGAACCAGCAAACUCGUUCUUAAGUUGGUGUUGCACCGAUAAACUAAUUUCAGACAAACGUAGCCCAGUGCCAGCACGCAGUUUCAGCAAGAAGUAGAAUUACACCAGCAAAUACCAAACAAACAGUUUGAGCCUGCGUGAAAGCCGAGAAAGCUGCAUUUCUCAAGCAAUUAUUGUAGGUACUUGGGGUUGUUUGUUGCCGUGGAGUUUUUUCAUUUAGAUACAGUUACAGUGCAUUUCAGUGACGAAACACUUUCGAGCCGGUUUGGGGGGUUUUUUAGGUUCUAGGUUGAAAUGCAGCUUGGAGUCCCGGCCGCGGUGUUUCCCUGCCUCUGGAGCACGGCCAGGAAGGACUCGCGUCCCGGGGGAGCAGGCAGCCCCGCUCCCGGGAGCCGCGGGACCUGCUGCGCCGGCGCCGGUCGCUGCCCGGAGGCGCCCGCUCUGCGCUGGAAAGCGUCGGCCGUAGCCGCUCGCCGGCGCUGCCCGGCCGCUGCCGCCCCGCUCCGCGCUGCAGAAACCAGGAUCCAGCGGCAGCGGCGAGCGCGAAGUUCGCUCGCAACCGGCUUUGCUCGGUUUGGGGGACGGAAGGAGAAACAAACUCGGAGCAAGAGUUUCCCGGGGAAGCGCCGCUCCCCGCGCCGGGGCUGGGGCCGGCACCGCGCAGCCCACCGCCUGCCCUGCCCUGCCCUGCCCUGCCCUGCCCUGCCCUGCCCUGCCCUGCCCUGCCCUGCCCUGCCCUGCCCCGCUCCGCGCCGCGCCGCUCCGCGCGGGGGGAAGCUGUUUACGCUGUUGUGCUUUUUUUAAAGUGCGGGUAACUCCACCCAUAGCCCGGCAGCUUCCCCCUCGCCCGCUCCGUUUAACCUUUUCCGCACUGCCGCUGACCCUCCGCGCUCCCCGCCGCCGCCUCCCGCCUCGCCCGGCGGAACCGAGCGGCGCCCCGGCCGGGGGGAGCCCGGUGCCCGGCGGCGGCGGCGGCGGGCGCGCUCGAGGGCUCCUUUCCCCCCUUCUCCCUCCUUUUUUUCUUCUCUUCCUUUUUUUUCGGCGGGGGAGGACCGGGAUUUUGUUUUGUUUUUACAGCAGCCGUGCAGAGCCCUGGGUAUUGGUUUUCGGGCACAUGAAAGGGAUGUUUUACAGGCCUUCCCGGUGGAAGGAGCCGCAGUAAAAGACGGUAACGGUGAAGCGUGUUGCUGCGCUGCUCGUGUGGGACACGGCAACCUUGCAGAUGGGAAGAGUGUUAUUAAAAAAAAAGGUAAUUAAUAGCACUAAGAAGCUGAUUAAAAUAAAACCCGCGUCACUGCAGCAGGGGUCUCGCCGGGAAGCAGUCAUGCCCGCCUGCCGCAGACUUAAGAGCUCGGAGCCACAAGGCCCCGCGCCGAGGCAGCGCCGGGACUCCUCCCCCCGUGACAUCAGGCUGAGCUACACGGCAAAACACCCCGAGAGCGGGCGGAAAGCAAAAAUCAGCUUUUCUCCCUCCCCUCCUUGAUGUUUAAAAAAUGAUAAAAACGCCAUUCUUCUCCAGCACUGGGCAUUUGCGGAGAGUCCUUCUGCAAAGCAAACUCGCAUCGGGACAGGCGUCUUUCAUCAGCCCCCUUCGCGAAGGGAGGGGAGAGCACGACUUCACGGCUGCAGCGAAACAUCGCCACCAAAAUUUCAAGCAAUUCCCCCAUGUCCCCCAGCCCCGCAAGAAACCAAAAAAUACUCAGUCCAUCAGCAGAGCACUGCUGCUCCGGCAGAGCAGGGAAGAGCCCGGUGGAAAGAGCGGCCGUACACAGCUACCGAGCGGGGCUGGGGACCCAGGGCAGAGCAUGGGCAACUUUCAUUAACUUUAUUUACAGCCUGGCCCAAAUUAAAUUGCCAAACCCGUUCGGAGCUUCCUGCAAAGUUACACAUUUUUCACGUAAACAUCCAAGCAGUUGCCUUUCUCUAGGAUGUGUCAUUUCCUGUGUGGCUAUAAUAAUAUAUUAAGUAAAGGCAUAGCAAUGAAUUUACAUACUUAUGUGUGUGUAGGCACCGUGCAUAGGAAAGACAGUAGGAUUUUGGGUAUACACAACAUCAGAAAUCGGCACAAAGCAUUUUUUUUAAAAGUUUGGGAAAUGACCACACUGAAAUAAGAAACACGCCUCAAAUAUUCUUGGCAUCCGAGAAAGGGCUGGCAAUGAAAGAUUUAUGGACAAGCCAGUGCGGGACAGGAAAGCUUCUAUGUUUAGCGAUCUGAGGAGGUGGAUGUCAUUCUCAGGACACAGGUCACCAGAAAGAUCUACCAAACCAGCCGAGUCCUUACCUGCUCACCACGGUCUUUAUUUAACGUGACUCACGCAAAGCUGAGCAUUUGGCAGGGCAGUCCUAGGGAGACACGCUGGCGACUGCCAGCGAGCUGGAGGAAUUAGCUGUAGGGAUGCGGGGGCUCACCUUUGCUCCAGGAAGGACAUCUUUCCUUUGCUGUAAGAUAUCUACUUUUUUUCCAGCAGUAAAGUGUCAAACCCACAAAGGAAGCGAUAUA